rnacentral:snRNA from 1 species
UUCCUAAUAGGCCAUGGACCAGUACAAAAAUUGGAACUAUAUAGAGAAGAUUAGCAUGGUCCCUCUUCGAGGAUGACAUGCAAAUUUGUGAAGCAUUCCAUUAAAAA